rnacentral:rRNA from 1 species
GAUGAACGCUGGCGGCGUGCCUAAUACAUGCAAGUCGAACGAGGUGCUUUUGUAGCAAUACGAAAGUAUCCUAGUGGCGAACGGGUGAGUAACGCGUUGGUGACCUACCCCAAAGUGUGGGAUAACAGUUCGAAAGAACUGCUAAUACCGCAUGUGGUUAUCGGAUUUAGAAACUGAUAACUAAAGGAGCAAUUCGCUUUGGGAGGGACCUGCGUCCCAUCAGCUAGUUGGUGAGGUAAUGGCUCACCAAGGCUACGACGGGUAGGGGACCUGAGAGGGUGACCCCCCACAUGGGUACUGAGACACGGACCCAACUCCUACGGGAGGCAGCAGUAAGGAAUAUUGGACAAUGGUCGGAAGACUGAUCCAGCCAUGCCGCGUGAAGGACGAAGGCGCUCAGCGUUGUAAACUUCUUUUGGAUGGGGAUAAUAAUCUCGAUUUAUCGGGACUUGAAGGUACCAUCAGAAUAAGCACCGGCUAACUCCGUGCCAGCAGCCGCGGUAAAGUAGU